rnacentral:lncRNA from 1 species
AUUUUAAAAAUAAAAAAAGCAUUGUACGUAGGAAUCACUUUAUACGAAAACAAUAGUGGCAAUAUAAACAUUGUUAUGUAGAUACGAAUAAAUGUUAUUCGAGCAUUUUAAAUAAUUAUUCGAAAUUCUAAUUAAUUUUUUAAUCCAUUAACGGCUAACUUUGAUAAAGAAGUGUUGUGAAGCGAGAAUCUGGCCGAGUAAGAUAAUAUAUCGUUUUAAUGAUCAUUUUUUUAAAUUCCAGCAAUGUUCCAAGCCCGGUCUGAACACGACGAAGGAAUGGUGGAGAACCCACACGCGUGAGUGGAUUUUUCCAAUCGAUAUGAUUUAAAUGGCGUUUUAAGAAAGCUGAAGACCACGGGGGAAAAACGGACGAGCCGGUGUUCGACUCAAAUUGUAAUUUAUACGGCUAUUACCGUGCCGCACGUUCGCCAUUAUAAAUUGUCGCGCUGUAUCUGCCGGCGUUCUUAUUUAUAGUUCCGUAAAUAAAUACCCGAGAUAAUGUGCCGCGGCCGGCCAGUGUAUUUGCGAUUCUAAUAAGUGUGCAUUUAACGCGAUGUAUUCGGGUAAACCGCGAAUGACGCAUUGCGAGGGUAAUUAAGCAAUUACGGGGAUACAAUGUUGUUGUCGCUCGAGGAAGAAUGAAUGUUCGCGUACCCUCCUAGAAUCGUAAUAACUCAUGGAGAUCGUUCUUCUCUUUUUAGAACCAGCAAGAUCGAUACGCGAUCGCCGCCUUCGAUAAGUCUCGUCGACAAGGGCGAGGAACUCUGAUUUACUGGCGGCCCUAUAGCAUCGUCGGUCGAGGAGGAACGGAGGUGGCAAAGGAAUGGACGAAGAGAGAAGAAGCGUCGAACGUAGCAAGAGCAACGGGAAAAAUAGAAAAGCGCAUAGGAGGCGGCGGCAGCAGCUGAAGAAGGAGGAAGUCGAGACACGCGUGUAACAAGCGUCGUUGGCAUUAAUUUAGAAUGAGCUCUACGACCCUAUGCAAAUCUCUCGUGUACAGGAAAUCCUAAGAAGCCGACCAGACUAUGAGACGUCGCCUCUCUCUCUGCUCAUCCACACCGUUUUCUUCCAGCCGCGGCAUGUUUGAAAUUACCAUCAACCGCGUACGACUUAUUCCUCCACCGGUCUCCGAUAACGCGUUACUCUUCCUUCUUUUAAGUUAUGACACCUGAACUCUUGCCAACGUUUAAUAUCCCGCAUCUUGCGAUAUCAACACUUCCGUCUUUAGCUAAGAUAACUAAUGGCUAUGGUGAAUCGAAUUAUUCGCCGCUACUUCUACAAGCGUGUUCAGUAAUCAACGAUUUUGCUGUAAACAUUGUCGAUAAAGAUAAAUUAAUUGAUUUAAAAAAAAAAAAAAAAAAAAAAAAGAAGUUACUGGUGUGAAGAAGA